AACGAACGCUGGCGGCAUGCCUAACACAUGCAAGUCGAACGAGACCUUCGGGUCUAGUGGCGCACGGGUGCGUAACGCGUGGGAAUCUGCCCUUCGGUUGGGAAUAACUGAGAGAAAUUUCAGCUAAUACCUUAUAAUGUCUUCGGACCAAAGAUUUAUCGCCGAGGGAUGAGCCCGCGUAGGAUUAGGUAGUUGGUGGGGUAAUGGCCUACCAAGCCGACGAUCCUUAGCUGGUCUGAGAGGAUGAUCAGCCACACUGGGACUGAGACACGGCCCAGACUCCUACGGGAGGCAGCAGUGGGGAAUAUUGGACAAUGGGCGAAAGCCUGAUCCAGCAAUGCCGCGUGAGUGAUGAAGGCCUUAGGGUUGUAAAGCUCUUUUACCCGGAUGAUAAUGACAGUACCGGGAGAAUAAGCUCCGGCUAACUCCGUG
rnacentral:rRNA from 1 species